AUACGUAGGGGGCGAGCGUUGUCCGGAAUGAUUGGGCGUAAAGGGCGCGUAGGCGGCCUGUUAAGUCUGGAGUGAAAGUCCUGUUUUCAAGAUGGGAAUUGCUUUGGAUACUGAUGGGCUUGAGUGCAGGAGAGGUUAUCGGAAUUCCCGGUGUUGCGGUGAAAUGCGUAGAGAUCGGGAGGAACACCAGUGGCGAAGGCGGGUAACUGGACUGCAACUGACGCUGAGGCGCGAAAGUGUGGGGAGCAAACAGGAUUAGAUACCCUGGUAGUCCACACUGUAAACGAUGAAUGCUAGGUGUAAGAGGUAUCGACCCCUUUUGUGCCGGAGUUAACACAAUAAGCAUUCCGCCUGGGGAGUACGGCCGCAAGGUUGAAACUCAAAUGAAUUGACGGGG
rnacentral:rRNA from 1 species